rnacentral:rRNA from 1 species
GAUGAACGCUGGCGGCGUGCCUAAUACAUGCAAGUCGAGCGAAUGGAUUAAGAGCUUGCUCUUAUGAAGUUAGCGGCGGACGGGUGAGUAACACGUGGGUAACCUGCCCAUAAGACUGGGAUAACUCCGGGAAACCGGGGCUAAUACCGGAUAACAUUUUGAACCGCAUGGUUCGAAAUUGAAAGGCUGCUUCGGCUGUCACUUAUGGAUGGACCCGCGUCGCAUUAGCUAGUUGGUGAGGUAACGGCUCACCAAGGCAACGAUGAGGAGCCGACAUGAGAGGGUGAGCGGCCACACUGGGACUGAGACACGGCCAAGAAUCCGACGGGAGGCAGCAGUAGGGAAUCUUCCGCAAUGGACGAAAGUCUGACGGAGCAACGCCGAGUGAGUGAUGAAGGCUUUCGGGUCGUAAAACUCUGUUGUUAGGGAAGAACAAGUGCUAGUUGAAUAAGCUGGCACCUUGACGGUACCUAACCAGAAAGCCACGGCUAACUACGUGCCAGCCGCCGCGGUAA